rnacentral:lncRNA from 1 species
CUUGACAAAAGGAAUUACCUUAAUUUUCUCCACAGAAAUGACAAAGAUCCCACACUUACUAGGAAAUGUGGGUGGAAGAGUUAAUGCAUUGUCUCGUAGAGCCUUAUGCAAUAUUUGUUGGGCACCCUCCAAGUCACUGUCCAGCUUCCAUGAGGAAGAGUGGCCAUCACAGGGGAAAUAUUGGGGAUGAGGAAAGGAAGGUGGUGAGGACUGAAAAGACAAUUUUUGCAGCUCAAGCUCAUGCCUCACUAUAAACACAAGAGAUAUUGAGUUACAACGAUGUUCCUGAUUCUGGUCUUUGCUGUAAUAGCAUGGCUAUUAUUUCAACUUGCAGCCAAUGAGGUCAGAGCCGUUCCAGAGCCACUGAUUGGUGUUUCCAUUAGCCUAAUGGUACAAUUGAAAUAAUUAUUAUUUUGGCUUUUAUAAUGAAAAUUGGCUAAUUGGCAGAAAACAGAGCCUAGGUUUUGUUUUUUGUUUUUUCCCACCUUCAAAGGCAGCUACUAAAGGGUUAGUGCCCAAAACAAUGGAAGGACC